rnacentral:rRNA from 1 species
AUUGAACGCUGGCGGCAGGCUUAACACAUGCAAGUCGAGCGAGCGGCGGACGGGUGAGUAAUAUCUGGGAAACUGCCUGAUGGCGGGGGAUAACUACUGGAAAGGGUAGCUAAUACCGCAUACCAUCGGAUCGGCCGAGAUGGGAUUAGCUAGUAGGUGGGGUAAUGGCUCACCAAGGCAACGAUCCGUAGCUGGUCUGAGAGGAGGACCAGCCACACUGGAACUGAGACACGGUCCAGACUCCUACGGGAGGCAGCAGUGGGGAAUAUUGCACAAUGGGCGAAAGCCUGAUGCAGCCAUUCCGCGUGUGUGAAGAAGGCCUUCGGGUUGUAAAGCACUUUCAGCGGGGAGGCGUUACUCGCAGAAGAAGCACCGGCUAACUCCGUGCCAGCAGCCGCGGUAAUAC